AAAUUGAAGAGUUUGAUCAUGGCUCAGAUUGAACGCUGGCGGCAGGCCUAACACAUGCAAGUCGAACGGUAGCACAGAGAGCUUGCUCUCGGGUGACGAGUGGCGGACGGGUGAGUAAUGUCUGGGAAACUGCCUGAUGGAGGGGGAUAACUACUGGAAACGGUGGCUAAUACCGCAUAACGUCGCAAGACCAAAGAGGGGGACCUUCGGGCCUCUUGCCAUCAGAUGUGCCCAGAUGGGAUUAGCUUGUUGGUGAGGUAACGGCUCACCAAGGCGAC
rnacentral:rRNA from 1 species